GUGGAUAUGGCCGAGUGGUUAUGGCGACAGUAAGAAAUUCCCUUGCUCUCUCUCUAGGUUUUAGGCUAACAAUCUCCAAGGGUUUAAGAAAAUAUCCCUGUUGGGGCAACCCGCACGAGUUCGAACCUCGUUGUCCACA